AUUGAACGCUGGCGGCAGGCUUAACACAUGCAAGUCGAGCGAGCGGCGGAUGGGUGAGUAAUGUCUGGGAAACUGCCUGAUGUAGGGGGAUAACUACUGGAAACGGUAGCUAAUACCGCAUACCAUCAGAUGUGCUCAGAUGGGCUGAGCUAGUAGGGGGGGUAAUGGCUCACCUAGGCGACGAUCCCUAGCUGGUCUGAGAGGAUGACCAGCCACACUAGAACGGAGACACGGUCCAGACUCCUACGGAACGCAGCAGGGGGGAAUAUUGCACAAUGGGCGCAGGCCUGAUGCAGCCAUGCCGCGUGUGUUAAGAAGGCCUUCGGGUUGUAAAGCACUUGCAGCGAGGAGGCGUUACUCGCAGAAGAAACACCGGCUAACUCCGUGCCAGCAGCCGCGGUAAUAC
rnacentral:rRNA from 1 species